AACGAACGCUGGCGGCAUGCCUAACACAUGCAAGUCGAACGAGACCUUCGGGUCUAGUGGCGCACGGGUGCGUAACGCGUGGGAACCUGCCCUUAGGUUCGGAAUCACUCCCCGAAAGGGGUGCUAAUACCGGAUAAUGUCUUCGGACCAAAGAUUUAUCGCCUUUGGAUGGGCCCGCGUUGGAUUAGCUAGUUGGUAGGGUAAAAGCCUACCAAGGCGACGAUCCAUAGCUGGUCUGAGAGGAUGAUCAGCCACACUGGGACUGAGACACGGCCCAGACUCCUACGGGAGGGAGCAGUGGGGAAUAUUGGACAAGGGGCGAAGGCCUGAUCCAGCAGUGCCGCGUGAGUGAGGAAGGCCUUAGGGUUGUAAAGCUCUUUUACCCGGGAUGAUAAUGACAGUACCGGGAGAAUAAGCACCGGCUAACUCCGUG
rnacentral:rRNA from 1 species